rnacentral:rRNA from 1 species
CAGUAGCCGCGGGAACACGUAGGGUGCAAGCGUUAAUCGGGAUUACUGGGCGUAAAGCGUGCGCAGGCGGUUAUAUAAGUCAGAUGUGAAAUCCCCGGGCUCAACCUGGGAACUGCAUUCGAAACUGUAUGGCUAGAGUGUGUCAGAGGGGGGUAGAAUUCCACGUGUAGCAGUGAAAUGCGUAGAUAUGCGGAGGAACACCGAUGGCGAAGGCAAUCCCCUGGACCUGUACUGACGCUCAUGCACGAAAGCGUGGGGAGCAAACAGGAUUAGAUACCCCCGUAGUCCCUGUCUCUUAUAA